rnacentral:rRNA from 1 species
ACACGACUACAUUAGAUACCCGUGUAGUCCUAGCCGUAAACGAUACUCGCUAGGUGUCGGCCACGGUGCGACCGUUGUCGGUGCCGUAGGGAAGCCGUGAAGCGAGCCACCUGGGAAGUACGGCCGCAAGGCUGAAACUUAAAGGAAUUGGCGGGGGAGCACCACAACGGGUGGAGCUUGCGGUUUAAUUGGAUUCAACGCCGGAAAUCUUACCGGGACCGACAGCAACAUGAAGGCCAGGCUGAAGACUUUGCCGGAUUGGCUG